UUGCCAGCCCGCUCAGAAACUACAAGGAAGUUGACGGGGCCCGGCACAAGCGGAGGAGCAUGUGGUUUAAUUCGAUGAUACGCGAGGAACCUUACCUGGGCUCGAACGUAAGAUGACUGUAGGUGAAAGCUUACAUCUCUUCGGAGCAUUUUACGAGGUGCUGCAUGGUUGUCGUCAGCUCGUGCCGUGAGGUGUCGGGUUAAGUCCCAUAACGAGCGCAACCCCUACCUUUAGUUGCCAUCAGGUAAUGCUGGGGACUCUAAAGGAACUGCCUACGCAAGUAGUGAGGAAGGCGGGGAUGACGUCAAAUCAGCACGGCCCUUACGUCCAGGGCUACACACGUGCUACAAUGGCCGAUACAGAGGGCAGCUACCUGGUGACAGGAUGCAAAUCUCCAAAGUCGGUCUCAGUUCGGAUCGGAGUCUGCAACCCGACUCCGUGAAGUUGGAUUCGCUAGUAAUCGCGCAUCAGCCAUGGCGCGGUGAAUACGUUCCCGGGCCUU
rnacentral:rRNA from 1 species